rnacentral:rRNA from 1 species
CACGUAGGGUGCGAGCGUUUGUCCGGAAUUAUUGGGCGUAAAGAGCUCGUAGGCGGUGUGUCGCGUCGGCCGUGAAAACCUGCAGCUUAACUGUGGGCUUGCGGUCGAUACGGGCAUCACUGGAGUUCGGCAGGGGAGAACGGAAUUCCCGGUGUAGCGGUGAAAUGCGCAGAUAUCGGGAGGAACACCGGUGGCGAAGGCGGUUCUCUGGGCCUUACCUGACGCUGGAGGAGCGAAAGCAUGGGGAGCGAACAGG